CCAUUAAUCGAAUUAAAUAUUAGAAGGUGAGAGCUUGCGUGUUGUGUGCAUUCGGGCGUAUGAAUUGUGCUGUGAAGUCUUCCAUUUCACACCUUUCAUUCUCAUAGCCAUGGCAGAAGGAUCCAAGGUUUGACAACACAGGUCCAAUAAGGUCUGUCCUUCGCUGGUUCUCUUUUAGCUUUUCCCUCAAAAACUUUCUCAAAAUUUAUAAUGAAUUUGUUGUCUCCGUGUGAAUCCGUGUCUGGGUUUUCCUCUGCUGGUUAGAUUUCCCAUAGCUGGUUGAAUCUAAUUUUCUAGGUCUUGUUCUCCUUGAGAAAUGACCCCCUGUCGAAUUGAAAGUUCUGGGGUUUUACCGGAAAGCGCAAUUUGGGUCUUAUCUGAGGCCUGAGGGUGGAAACCAGGUAGUGGUUUUUUUGUUUUAUCUGAACAUGGAUUUUUGAAGUUAUAUACUAUUGGAGUGGAUUUUUUAUUUUUAUUUUUUUUAUUUUUGAGUUUUUCUUUUGGUGUGUUUUCUGUUUUGUUUUGGGUUUGUGGAGUUUUGGGAAUUAGGGUUUUGGUUUGGGGUGAUAGAACAUGGAAGAGGUUGAAGAAGCUAACAAAGAAGCUGUGGAUAGCUGCCACAGAGUUCUUAGUAUGUUGACACAGCUCAGGGAUGAAGUUCAGUAUGGGAAUUUAAUGGGGGAAACUGAGGAAGCUGUGUUCAAGUUCAAGAAAGUUGUUUCCCUUCUUAACCGUGAUUUGCGUCAUGGAAGAGUCAGAAAGACGAAGAUAUUUCAAACCCCAUUUCCUCAAAACAUAUUCUUUGACCACCCAAACUCCAAAACAGAACACCUAUCCAAUCCUAUACAGUUUUUCCAAUCUAAUUUUCUUGGAGAUUCAAUGCAAGAAAUGGGUUCAAUUGUUAAGAACACUUUGUGUUUAGGAAACACAUCAUUAGAUUUGAGCUCAAAUGGGAAAAGUCCUCUUCAACUGGCUCAACAAAGUCCAUCAACGCAUUAUCACUUCCUUCAGCAUCAGCAGCAACAGCAGAGACUUCAGCAGCAGCAGCAGCAGCAGAUCAAACAUCAGACAGAAACGAUGUUUCAACGGAGUAACAGCGGCAUAAAUCUUAAUUUCGACAGCUCCAGUUGCACACCCACUAUGUCAUCAACUAGGUCUUUCAUAUCUUCAUUGAGUAUGGAUGGGAGUGUGGCUAACUUGGAUGGAAGUGCAUUCCAUUUGAUGGGAGCACAGCGCUUGUCAGAUCACCAUUCACACCAAUUACACAAGAGGAAGUGCUCCGCAAGGGGGGAUGAUGGGAGCGUGAGAUGUGGAAGCAGUGGGAGAUGCCACUGCUCAAAGAAGAGGAAGCAUAGGGUGAAGAGAUCAAUCAAGGUGCCUGCUAUAAGUAACAAGCUGGCAGAUAUUCCUCCUGAUGAAUAUUCCUGGAGAAAGUAUGGCCAGAAGCCAAUCAAGGGUUCACCUCAUCCUAGGGGAUAUUAUAAAUGUAGCAGCAUGAGAGGUUGCCCCGCAAGGAAGCAUGUUGAGAGGUCCCUGGAAGAUCCAUCCAUGCUUAUUGUCACUUACGAAGGUGAGCACAGCCAUCCUAGGAUACCGACACAGUCCGCAAACACUUGAACCUUGUGGACAGCUUCAUCAAGAUUGCUUCAAGGCCCUGACUGCUCUGUCCUUCAAAAUCCAAGUUUAUUAUUGGUUCAAAUCAAUUUUGUACAUAUUUGGCACAGUUCAGGCUUGAGGCAUAUUUAGAGCAGUUUUUUUGCCAUGUGAGAGUUGCCUCUCCGAGCCUUAUGGCUAUUGGCCGGGUUGGCAUGAAGGCCAGAGCAAAGCAGAUGAACUCUGACAGUGGGCAUUCAAAAUUUGCUACUUUAUAAUUGCAGGAAAAGAAACAUUAACUACUAUUAUCUUUGCUUAGGUGAAAUGAGAAUUUUGAGUUCCCUUCGAAGUUGGGAUUUUCUCACUGUAACCUACCCAUGCAUUGAUAGUUCAGUGGGCUUAUUAUGGAUGCAGCGGCUUGCUUUGCUUUGUGAUUUAUUUGGCAGAGGAAUAAUACAACAGAAAACUGUUGAGGAGUGUAUUGAAUGGGUUACCUGUCAAUUCAAAACACUGGGAAAUUUCCUUCAGAGAAUGUCAAUAUGUUGGCAUGACUUUAUCAAAACAAAGUGUUGAAAUUCACUAAUUUUUAUUCCAAGUUAAAUUAUAGUUUGACCAGAACUGUACACCAUACUUUAUUGGUAACUUGUCAUUAUUAAUCAUAAAUUGGUUUUCGAAGCUGUUGGGAUGGAAA